rnacentral:rRNA from 1 species
UAGGGAAUCUUCCGCAAUGGGCGAAAGCCUGACGGAGCAACGCCGCGUGAGUGAUGAAGGUCUUCGGAUCGUAAAACUCUGUUAUUAGGGAAGAACAAAUGUGUAAGUAACUAUGCACAUCUUGACGGUACCUAAUCAGAAAGCCACGGCUAACUACGUGCCAGCAGCCGCGGUAAUACGUAGGUGGCAAGCGUUAUCCGGAAUUAUUGGGCGUAAAGCGCGCGUAGGCGGUUUUUUAAGUCUGAAGUGAAAGCCCACGGCUCAACCGUGGAGGGUCAUUGGAAACUGGAAAACUUGAGUGCAGAAGAGGAAAGUGGAAUUCCAUGUGUAGCGGUGAAAUGCGCAGAGAUAUGGAGGAACACCAGUGGCGAAGGCGACUUUCUGGUCUGUAACUGACGCUGAUGUGCGAAAGCGUGGGAAUCAAACAGG